UAUCACGCCGUCCGGUACUA
rnacentral:piRNA from 1 species